AGAUUGAACGCUGGCGGCAUGCCUUACACAUGCAAGUCGAACGGUAACAGGUCUUCGGACGCUGACGAGUGGCGAACGGGUGAGUAAUACAUCGGAACGUGCCCAGUCGUGGGGGAUAACUACUCGAAAGAGUAGCUAAUACCGCAUACGAUCUGAGGAUGAAAGCGGGGGACCUUCGGGCCUCGCGCGAUUGGAGCGGCCGAUGGCAGAUUAGGUAGUUGGUGGGAUAAAAGCUUACCAAGCCGACGAUCUGUAGCUGGUCUGAGAGGACGACCAGCCACACUGGGACUGAGACACGGCCCAGACUCCUACGGGAGGCAGCAGUAAGGAAUAUUGGUCAAUGGUCGGAAGACUGAACCAGCCAUGCCGCGUGCAGGAUGAAGGUGUUAAACAUUGUAAACUGCUUUUAUACGGGAAGAAAAAGUCCUUGCGAGGAGAAUUGACGGUACCGUAUGAAUAAGCAUCGGCUAACUACGUGCCAGCAGCCGCGGUAAUACGUAGGAUGCAAGCGUUGUCCGGAUUUAUUGGGUUUAAAGGGUGCGUAGGUGGUUUGAUAAGUCGUGGGUGAAAGGUAUCAGCUUAACUGAUGAAAUGCCUGCGAUACUGUCAGACUUGAGUACGGUUGAGGUAUGUAGAAUUGAUGGUGUAGCGGUGAAAUGCAUAGAUACCAUCAGGAAUACCAAUUGCGAAGGCAGCAUACUAAGCCGUAACUGACACUGAGGCACGAAAGCGUGGGGAUCAAACAGGAUUAGAUACCCUGGUAGUCCACGCCGUAAACGAUGAGGACUCGUUGUUGGCGAUAGACCGUCAGCGACUUAGGGAAACCGUUAAGUCCUC
rnacentral:rRNA from 1 species